ACAGACCUUACGGAGCUCCACCUGUCAACCUCAACAUAAAGACGACAGGCUCCAGACCUUAUGGACAAACCACCAAGCUGAAGGGAGUGGAUUUGGACGCUCCUGGAAACAUUAACGGAGUUCCAGUGCUCGAGGUGGAAAUGGAGUCCUUCGAGGAGAAACCCUGGAGGAAGCCAGGAGCGGAUCUGUCCGACUACUUUAACUACGGCUUCAAUGAAGACACGUGGAAGGCUUACUGUGAAAAACAGAAGAGGUUGCGGAUGGGCCUGGAGGUGUCUACUGUCGGCUCGGUGACGAGCAAGAUCACGG